rnacentral:rRNA from 1 species
AUUGAACGCUGGCGGCAGGCCUAACACAUGCAAGUCGAGCGGAUGAAGGGAGCUUGCUCCUGGAUUCAGCGGCGGACGGGUGAGUAAUGCCUAGGAAUCUGCCUGGUAGUGGGGGAUAACGUCCGGAAACGGGCGCUAAUACCGCAUACGUCCUGAGGGAGAAAGUGGGGGAUCUUCGGACCUUACGCUAUCAGAUGAGCCUAGGUCGGAUUAGCUAGUUGGUGGGGUAAAGGCCUACCAAGGCGACGAUCCGUAACUGGUCUGAGAGGAUGAUCAGUCACCAUGGAACUUGGACCCGGUCCCGACUCCGACGGGAGGAAGCAGUUGGGAAUAUUGGACAAUGGGCGAAAGCCUGAUCCAGCCAUGCCGCGUGUGUGAAGAAGGUCUUCGGAUUGUAAAGCACUUUAAGUUGGGAGGAAGGGCAGUAAGUUAAUACCUUGCUGUUCUGACGUUACCAACAGAAUAAGCACCGGCUAACUUCGUG